rnacentral:rRNA from 1 species
GAGUUUGAUCGUGGCUCAGAUUGAACGCUGGCGGCAGGCCUAACACAUGCAAGUCGAGCGGUAACAGGGAUAGCUUGCUAUCUGCUGACGAGCGGCGGACGGGUGCGUAACACGUAGGAAUCUACCCAGUAGCGGGGGAUAGCCCGGAGAAAUCCGGAUUAAUACCGCAUACGCCCUACGGGGGAAAGCAGGGGAUUCUUUCUUUGGAGAGAACCUUGCACUAUUGGAUGAGCCUGCGUCGGAUUAGCUGGUUGGUGGGUAAAGGCCUACCAAGGCAACGAUCCGUAGCUGGUCUGAGAGGAUGAUCAGCCACACUGGGACUGAGACACGGCCCAGACUCCUACGGGGAGGCAGCAGUGGGGAAUAUUGCACAAUGGGCGCAAGCCUGAUGCAGCCAUGCCGCGUGUGUG